UGAGAGUGGCGAACGGGUGCGUAACGCGUAUGCAACCUACCCUAUACAGGGGGAUAGCCCGGAGAAAUCUGGAUUAAUACCCCAUGGUAUCAUUGGACCGCAUGGUCUGAUGCUUAAAGAUUCAUCGGUAUAGGAUGGGCAUGCGUCUGAUUAGCUAGUUGGCGGUGUAACGGACCACCAAGGCUACGAUCAGUAGGGGUUCUGAGAGGAAGGUCCCCCACACUGGCACUGAGAUACGGGCCAGACUCCUACGGGAGGCAGCAGUAGGGAAUAUUGGGCAAUGGACGAGAGUCUGACCCAGCCAUGCCGCGUGCAGGAAGACGGCGUUCUGCGUUGUAAACUGCUUUUAUCUGGGAAGAAAAUGCCCCUGCGGGGGAAAUUGCCGGUACCAGAUGAAUAAGCACCGGCUAACUCCGUGCCAGCAGCCGCGGUAAUACGGAGGGUGCAAGCGUUGUCCGGAUUUAUUGGGUUUAAAGGGUGCGUAGGCGGCUGUUUAAGUCAGUGGUGAAAGACUCCGGCUCAACCGGAGCAGUGCCAUUGAUACUGGACAGCUUGAGUAUUGGAGGGGUACAUGGAAUUGAUGGUGUAGCGGUGAAAUGCAUAGAUACCAUCAGGAACACCGAUAGCGAAGGCAUUGUACUGGCCAAUAACUGACGCUGAUGCACGAAAGCAUGGGUAGCGAACAGGAUUAGAUACCCUGGUAGUCCAUGCCGUAAACGAUGAUUACUCGCUGUUAUGGCUUUAUGUUGUAGCGGCCAAGCGAAAGCGUUAAGUAAUCCACCUGGGGAGUACGCUCGCAAGAGUGAAAC
rnacentral:rRNA from 1 species